UACGAAGGGGGCUAGCGUUGCUCGGAAUCACUGGGCGUAAAGCGCACGUAGGCGGACUCUUAAGUCGGGGGUGAAAUCCUGGAGCUCAACUCCAGAACUGCCUUCGAUACUGGGAGUCUUGAGUUCGGGAGAGGUGAGUGGAACUGCGAGUGUAGAGGUGAAAUUCGUAGAUAUUCGCAAGAACACCAGUGGCGAAGGCGGCUCACUGGCCCGAUACUGACGCUGAGGUGCGAAAGCGGUGGGGAGCAAACAGGG
rnacentral:rRNA from 1 species